GCCACAACACGUCAGCUCCUAUCUGAUUACCCAAAGCAAUUUCAAGUUAAUUCUCCACUAGUUUGAGCAAAGAAUUAAAUUAAUAAUGAGAAAAAAAGAGCUAAUUGAAAAACAGCCUUUGAAAAAAAUUCAGAUUUUAAACUAAAUGCGUUCUUCAGUGUCAUUUUUCUAUCAAGAAAUUCAAACAAAAGAUUGAAAUCUUAGCGUUCUAUUCAUUGAUCACUACAACAUAUUUACACAUUAUUCUAAAUUCCGCUAGAAAUCACAGCUGUAUUAAGCCAUAAAGCAGCAAUUUAAUUACCUUUGAU
rnacentral:misc_RNA from 1 species